AGAAAAUGAUUUACGCUAUCUGAAACAUAUAGAUGAUUAAUGAAUUGUGUUUCUUUCUUCUAGGGAAAAUCCAGAACGUACCUUUGAUUUGGUACUGAAAGUAAAAUGCCAAACUUCUGAAAAUGAAGAGAUUGAGAGAUGGAGGAUCAGUUAUUGCAGCUUUCAGCUUCUCUUUGCAAAUACAAAAAUGCAGGGGAAAAUAUUGCUGCUUUUCGGUGCCUUAUUUCCUAUAGAGUUUUCCUCCAGCCUACAGAGAUUCUUGGAUGUAUGUGUAAUAUGGAGGAGUAAAGAUUAAAACUUAACUAUGUGGAAAGGAGAAGAGAAAAAGGAGAAGUGGUGAGAGAGAAAAAAGGCCUGAACAAGAUUCUGGGUGUGGUGACUGUCCUUCCUGAGCUGUGAAAGCCAAGCCAGCAGUUUACAGUCAUACUGUCGUCUCUUGUAG
rnacentral:lncRNA from 1 species